UACGGGGGGGGGCAAGCGUUGUUCGGAAUUACUGGGCGUAAAGGGCUCGUAGGCGGCCAACUAAGUCAGACGUGAAAUCCCUCGGCUUAACCGGGGAACUGCGUCUGAUACUGGAUGGCUUGAGUUUGGGAGAGGGAUGCGGAAUUCCAGGUGUAGCGGUGAAAUGCGUAGAUAUCUGGAGGAACACCGGUGGCGAAGGCGGCAUCCUGGACCAACACUGACGCUGAGGAGCGAAAGCGUGGGGAGCAAACAGGG
rnacentral:rRNA from 1 species